AGGCGUAAUGACUGGAAAACUGUCUCAACGAAGAGCCCGAUGAAAAUGCGAUUCCCGUGAAGACGCGGGGUACCGGCAGCUAGACGAAAAGACCCCGGAAGCUUUACUGUAGCUUGGUAUUGAUAUUAAUGGUCGAAUGCGUAGCGUAGUGAGUAGACUUCGAAACCCUGUUUCCGGAUGGGGUGGAGUCGCCAAUGAAACACUCAUCUUUAGUUCAUUAAUGUCUAACUGGAUAUGAAAAACAUAUUCAAGACAGUGCCUGGCGGGCAGUUUUUCUGGGGCGGAACCCUCCCAAAGUGUAACGGAGGGGCCUAUUAAGGUUGGCUUAGCGCGGAUGGAAAUCGCGCUAGACGUGGAAAGGCACAAGCCAGCUUGACUGCAAGGCCUACAAGCCGCGCAGGUGCGAAAGCAGAGCUUACCGACCCGACGAUCCUCUAUAGGAAGGUCGGAGACAACGGAUAAAAGUUACUCCGGGGAUAACAGGCUGGUUUCGUCCGAGAGUCCCUAUCGACGACGAAGCUCGGCACCUCGAUGUCGGCUCAUCACAUCCCGGGGCUGGAGAAGGUCCCAAGGGUACGGCUGUUCGCCGUUUAAAGUGAUACGUGAGCUGGGUUCAAACCGUCGUGAGACAGGUUGGUCUCUAUCUGCUGCCGGCGUAGAUGCUUGAGGGAAGUCGUCUCUAGUACGAGAGGACCGAGAUGAACGAACCUCUGGUCUACUGGCUUUGGUAUCAACUGAAUUGCCAGGUAGCUAUGUUCGGACGGGAUAAGUGCUGAAAGCAUCUAAGCACGAAGCCUCUCCCAAGAUUAGGCAUCAUUAACCCCUAGAAGAUUACUAGGUUGAUAGGCUCUAGAUGUAAGGCCCGUAAGGGUUUCAGUCGAGGAGUACUAAUCGGUUAAGCGCGCGUUCCG
rnacentral:rRNA from 1 species